rnacentral:rRNA from 1 species
AACGAACGCUGGCGGCAGGCUUAACACAUGCAAGUCGAGCGCCCCGCAAGGGGAGCGGCAGACGGGUGAGUAACGCGUGGGAAUCUACCCAUCUCUACGGAAUAACGCAUGGAAACGUGUGCUAAUACCGUAUACGUCCUUCGGGAGAAAGAUUUAUCGGAGAUGGAUGAGCCCGCGUUGGAUUAGCUAGUUGGUGGGGGAAAGGCCUACCAAGGCUACGAUCCAUAGCUGGUUUGAGAGGAUGAUCAGCCACACUGGGACUGAGACAUGGCCGAGACUCCUACGGGAGGCAGCAGUGGGGAAUCUUAGAGAAGGGGGGAAACCCUGAGCUAGCCAUGCCGCGUGAGUGAUGAAGGCCCUAGGGUUGUAAAGCUCUUUCGCCGGUGGAGAUAAUGACGGUAACCGGAGAAGAAGCCCCGGCUAACUUCGUGCCAGCCGCCGCGGUAAAAC